AUGUCUGAGCCAGGCCCCAGGGUGAAUGGCUUCUCUCUGGGAGAGCUGUGCUGGCUCUUCUGCUGCCCGCCCUGCCCAAGCCACAUCACCGCCAAGCUGGCCCUUCCUGCCACCUGAGUGGGCUAGUGCCCGCUAGUGCCCACUACAUGGUGCUAGUGCCCAAGCCGAUUGUCCCAGACCCUGUACUUGCAGCCUGCACCUCAGCUAGCGCGCGGGCGGACAGCAGUACUUGCAGUGCAAGCUCCAUGCUGUCAAGGUCUUCUUGCGCACGGCGGGGGACAACGGCUCCCUUCAGCCGGUACAUGCUGCUCUUCUAGCACGGCAAUGCAGUGGAUGUGGGCCAGAUGUGCAGCGUCUAUAUCAGCCUCUGCUGGCGCAUCAACUGCAAUAUCUUCUGGGACUACUCAGGCUACGUCGUCAGCUUACGGAAGCCUUCUGAGGCCCUGUGGCAGGCGCUGUGCACCCAGUAUAGCGUAAGUCCUGAGAACAUUAUCCUCCAUAGUCAGAGCACUGGGACUGUCCCCAUGGUAGACUUGGCCUUGCGAUAUGAGUGUGCAACAGUAAUUCUCUGCUCCCCCUGAUGUCUAGCUUGCCAGUGGCUUUUCCGGAUACCAGAAAAACAUACUGCUUUGACGCUUUCCCCAGCAUUGACAAGGUAUCUAAAGUCACCUCUUCUGUGUUGGUCAUUCACCAUACAGAGGGUGAGGUCAUUGAUUUCUCCCAUGGCCUAGUGAUGUAGGAGUGCUGUCCCUGUGCUGUGGAGCUCCUCUGGGUUGGGGCUGGCCAUUAUGACAGAGAGCUUUAUGCAUAAUACCUAGACGGACUAAAACAGUUCAUAUCUCAUGAACUUCCUAAUCCCUGAAGACAAGAACUCUAUUUUACCUCAUUUACUGUGAACAGAAGAGUCCUCUGUUAUGCACAUGCUUUAACUGGAUAGCUGUAAUGGCUUGAGAACCACAAAGAAGUGUCCAACCUAUAGGGUGUUCUAAUCAAAGAGCUGACGAAAUCUCAGUCUUUUGUAUUGAAAGGUUGUUUUACUAAUUCACAUAACAUGUUAAACUGAACAGUCGUGAUUCCCAGCUUCAUUACCUUGCAGGAAUGGGAAUGAGAACUGAAUGUAGGGACAGUUUACUAGUGCUAUAUAAAAUAUGCUCGUAUCUGUUUCUCAACCCUACCCGUCAUUUCUGAUUCACUUAGGCAGGACUCAACCCUGUCUCCACCACUAUUCUCACUAUUUGACAUGCAGCUGUCUUUCAGCCAGUGGAUUCAUGGGGGCAAUCCAUUUGUGAAGCUGUGAUCGUGAAAACUAUUGUGG